AGGACGAACCCCCAGACACUGACCACGCCCUCUUUAGACCCCGCCCCGUGUUUUGGCCCUGCCCCUUGCUGCUGGACACGCCCACCGAGCGCCCCACCCCUCAGGCCCCGCCCCUCCCAGUUCCCAGCUCCGGAUUCUGGCACGCCCUCUCCUGAAGCCCCGCCCCAAAUGAGCUUUGGUACCGCCCCCGGAUAGAUUUUUAUCAAUGGAAACCAAAAAUCGCCACAAAUCGACCCAAAAAUUCAAACCCAGGGUGCGGGAGUGUGUUCUUUAUUCUUUCAGUGACUGUACACACCUUCCCCCCCAUCUCACUCCUAACCCCCUUCUCUCCAAGAUGUGAAUCUCCCCUCCCCCCGCUUCUUUCCCUGCCCCCUUUCACAGACUGUUUAGUAUGUUAGUCCUACCCCAAACUCCUCCCCUGUUAUUCCCCUAUUGGUUGCUGUUCCUAUACCCCUCCCCAUAAGUUCUUGUAUAAAACAUCUGCUCGCCCCCCACAAGGCGUCUUGGGGCACGCGAAAUAAACCAAACCUGUUCACCCCAAGUCCCGUGCCGCCUCCAUCUGUCCCCGCGCCGAUAACUGGGACUGCAGAGCAUUUACAGGGGGACCGGCCGCCCGUUCUCUCCCCCGCCGCCCAGCACGCCCGCGCUCGGGGUGUCGCGGUGAAAGGGGACCGCAACGCAACAAAUGGGAGCAAGAGGAUGGUUCCCUCCUUCGUCUUGUAAAACAAACGGGCAAAUUCGUGGGGGUGCCCGCCUCACGGAAGAAGAAGGAGGGAAGAGGAACAUCUGCGGUCGUAGAAGCUUUGCCGGACGCUAAGAGGAGCCGAGCGCCGAGCGAAAAGAAUUCGGCUCCAGGACCCUUCUUUGUUCUCGCCUCCGUGCGCUCUACCCCACCCCCACUGAGAUCAGACGUCCUGCACUGGGGCAGACGUGCUGCAGGGGCUUUGAAGCGGGGGUAGACCUACCCCAGGACAAAGAGGGCGGUUUGGCAGCGGCUCAAGGGAGCCAGGAGAACGGCUCGUCAGGGGACAGCACCGGAACGAAACCACCAGAGGCCGAUAGUGGCCGAGCCCAAGGCUUCAGGGACGAGUUUUGGGUGCAGCCGAGAUCGGCUGGACUUGCCUGCAAGUCCCGGGAACACCUAAGCCUCUGGAAGAGCCAAACCGAGAAGGAACGUCCCCAGUUCGGCGCGACUUUUCCACCAAGUCGAGGAGAAGAAUCAAGCCAUCUCCACCCGGGCCCCAGAGGAAAGAAAGAUCAUCCUAUUUAGUUUGUACCCACGGUAUUAUGCCCACUCCGGAAAUAAAGAAUAAAAUCAGACAAGCCAUGUCGCCGCUCGCUGCUUCAACUCUGCUAUACAUCUCCAGCGUCGCGACAGCCCAAGUUUCGAAUCAGAUCAAGCUGUGAAUUCUGCUGAAUGUUUUACCCCGAAUUCAGAAUUUGUUUAUGUCAAUUUUAUAUGCUUUGUAUAUUAAUUUGUUUUAUUGUAAUUAUAAUUAAUUUGUACUUUUCUGAUGUUUUUCAAUUUAUUUCUGUUUAAUAAUUUGUAAUGUUACUAUAUGAUUUUGUUGUAUUUUACAUAUGAAGUUUAUAUUGUUUAUAUGCAGUAUUAAUUUGUUUAAACGCCAGAAUUCUCCUUUCUUUUGUAAAAAGAAAAAGAGGGAGAUAUGGGACUGUGUUCUUUAUUCUUUCAGUGUCUGUACACACCCCCCACCAUCUCACUCCUAACCCCCUUCUCUCCAAGAUGUGAAUCUCCCCUCCCCCCGCUUCUUUCCCUGCCCCCUUUCACAGACUGUUUAGUAUGUUAGUCCUACCCCAAACUCCUCCCCUGUUAUUCCCCUAUUGGUUGCUGUUCCUAUACCCCUCCCCAUAAGUUCUUGUAUAAAACAUCUGCUCGCCCCCGCCAAGGCGUCUUGGGGCACGCGAAAUAAACCAAACCUGUUCACCCCAA